rnacentral:rRNA from 1 species
CAGUCGCCGCGGUAAUACGUAGGGUGCGAGCGUUAAUCGGAAUUACUGGGCGUAAAGCGUGCGCAGGCGGUUUGUUAAGACAGAUGUGAAAUCCCCGGGCUCAACCUGGGAACUGCAUUUGUGACUGGCAAGCUAGAGUAUGGCAGAGGGUGGUGGAAUUCCGCGUGUAGCAGUGAAAUGCGUAGAUAUGCGGAGGAACACCGAUGGCGAAGGCAGCCCCCUGGGCCAAUACUGACGCUCAUGCACGAAAGCGUGGGGAGCAAACAGGAUUAGAUACCCCAGUAGUCCCUGUCUCUUAUAC